GUGGGGAAUAUUGGACAAUGGGCGAAAGCCUGAUCCAGUCAUGCCGCGUGUGUGAAGAAGGUCUUCGGAUUGUAAAGCACUUUAAGUUGGGAGGAAGGGCAGUAAGUUAAUACCUUGCUGUUUUGACGUUACCGACAGAAUAAGCACCGGCUAACUUCGUGCCAGCAGCCGCGGUAAUACGAAGGGUGCAAGCGUUAAUCGGAAUUACUGGGCGUAAAGCGCGCGUAGGUGGUUCAGUAAGUUGGAAGUGAAAUCCCCGGGCUCAACCUGGGAACUGCCUCCAAAACUACUGAGCUAGAGUACGGUAGAGGGUAGUGGAAUUUCCUGUGUAGCGGUGAAAUGCGUAGAUAUAGGAAGGAACACCAGUGGCGAAGGCGACUACCUGGACUGAUACUGACACUGAGGUGCGAAAGCGUGGGGAGCAAACAGGAUUAGAUACCCUUGUAGUCC
rnacentral:rRNA from 1 species